AUUUCAUCUCCGAACCGCUCGACUCAGGUCAAGUGGCUCCACCGCUGCAGAUCGCCGUGAGCAGCACCGGCAGCCUCGCCAAGGACGACGAGGUCCCAUGCGCCGGCCUCCGCAGCUUCCACCUCCCCGUUUCAGCCGCGGCAGCGUCCCGCUCCCCCGCGCGGCCGUCGUCGCCGCACAGCAGCCCGGCGCCGGAGAGCUGCCUCUCCAUGCCCAGGAAGUGGCCGAGCGACGUGGGCACGCGGACGUCGUCCCUGCACAGCCUCCACCAGCCGGCCGCGGCGCCGCGCCAGUGCCGGCGCCUCCACCUGCGGCGCCACCUCCGCCCCUCCCCUUCCUCCUCCUCAUGCACCGGAGCACACGGCGUCCCCGACCCGGUCCCCUCCUCCACUGCGUCCUGCCCUGAGUAGUGGUGGUGAUCCUCCCGCUCCUCGUCGGCGAGGGACACGCCCAUCAGCGUGCCCAGCGUCGUGCUCCGGUCCCGGAAGAACGACCCCGUGGUGGACUGGCAACAGAAAAACAAAAUCAGGAUUGCAAAGUUUCUGCUGCCCAUGCGCGCAUAAGCACAUUGUUUGUGAAAGAGAUGUUACCUCAGUGGCGAUAUCGGAGUCGGACGAGGACGGCGAUGUCUCGGCGGAGGGCGAGGAUGGGAUCAUGCCGGCGUCACCGUCCAUCGUCUUCUUCUCUGCCGGCGAGGGUAGAGUCACUUGUUACUGUGGGAGCGGCAGUGGGAGAAAGGGAUUGUGUUCCUCUCGAUCGAGGGAUUCCGCUAGAGAAUCUCUCAGACUCCACUACUCCAGUCAGGACAGGGACAGGACAAGCGAGCAGACUGCGACGCGGCCGCCGAGCCCGGGUGGAAUAGGCAGAACCGUAUGUACAAGCCAAGAGCGGUCAAGGCCUGUGUGUUUGCACUGUGCCGCUGUGCGCUUCUGCCCGGUAUGUCGUUGAACGUUGAAGAUGCUUGUGACCAGUGUUGUGCCGUCAAAUUUUUAAAAAUUAAUUGGUUUUAUAGAAUAUAUUAACAAUAUAUGUAUCUUUAAAUAAGUUUAUAACUAAAAUAUAUUAAAA
rnacentral:misc_RNA from 1 species